GAUGAAACUUGUGGACAUUGGUAAGUGAGCCUUGGAUUUUCCACCUGUGAACGUGGAUAGUCAUGCCUGCCUUAGGGGUUGCUGUGUGCAUUAAAUGAAGUCAAGUCAUCCUGAGAAACCACAGGAUCCUCAGUGAAGCUGAGCAAAGCUGGGACUAGAAGUCACAUAGCCUGAGUCUGAAUCCCAGCUCUUCUGCUGCCCAGCCUGGUGACGUUGGCUGCUAUUCAACUGUUCCUGAGCCUCAGUUUUGUCAUCUGUGAUAUGGAGGGCCCAAGGCCUGCAGUCAGCAUGGAGGAGGUGUCCCUUCUAAGGAACAAAGUCGUGGAAAUCCUGCUGAGGAACGAGGAGGCGGAGGGAGCAGUGGACUUUUGUCUAAGUUGAAAAGGAACUGGAAGCCAGCACUGGGAUUCAGUGAUACGCAGUGCCAGCUACUAAAAUAUUGAGUGACUCCUGGCGAGGUUGGUAAAGAGCUCUGCGGCAGGCAGGCCUUCCAAACCCUUCUGCCUCUUCCCCCGGAUCCUCCCCCUGCCCUUAAGGGAAAGCAUGAGGCUUGGGAAGGCUGAGGCCUCUGAAAUGCUGCCCCAGCAGCUACCUAUGGCCGAGGUUCUGAUUGGCUGGUGGCAGAGCAUACAGGUUAUGAAAUACAAUCUUUCCCAUAUUG